GACGAACGCUGGCGGCGUGCUUAACACAUGCAAGUCGAACGAUGAACCGGUUUCGGCCGGGGAUUAGUGGCGAACGGGUGAGUAAGACGUGGGCAAUGUGCCCUGCACUAUGGGAUAAGCCCGGGAAACUGGGUCUAAUACCGGAUACGACAAUCCGAGGCAUCUGGGGGGGUGGAGGGUUCCGGCGGUGCAGGAUGAGCCCGCGGCCUGUCAGCUUGUUGGUGGGGUAAUGGCCUACCAAGGCGACGACGGGUAGCCGGCCUGAGAGGGGGACCGGCCACACUGGGACUGAGACACGGCCCAGACUCCUACGGGAGGCAGCAGUGGAGACUAUUGCACAAUGCGCGAAAGCCUGAUGCAGCGACGCCGCGUGAGGGAUGACUGCCUUCGGGUUGUAAACCUCUUUCAGCAGGGAAGAAGCGAAAGUGACGGUACCUGCAGAAGAAGCACCGGCUAACUACGU
rnacentral:rRNA from 1 species